AUGCAUGUAUAAGUUCAAACAGAAAAAGUGAAACUGCGAAUGGCUCAUUACAACAGGUAUAAUAUACCAGUUGGUUAAAGCUAAACGGAUAACUGCGGUAAUUGUGGAGCUAAUACGUGCGGAAAACCUGAUUCCUUGGGAGUCGGGUGCAUUUAUUGGUGCAAAAUCAGUCUCUGAAAAUUUGCUUAAUCUGGAUAACCCAGCAUAUGCGACAUGCGCCUUGUGCCGGCGAAGAUUUCAUGUCUAAGUAUCUGUCUUAUCAAUUGUCGUUGGUGCUGUAUUGGCAGUACCACGGUAUUCACGAGUAACGGAGAAUCAGGGUUUGACUCCGGAGAGGGAGCCUUAGAGACGGCUACCAUGUCUCAAGGAUAGCAGCAGGCGCGCAAAUUACCCACUAUCAAUACGAUGAGGUAGUGACGAGAAAUAACGAGACCGUUCUCUAUGAGGUCGGUCAUUGGAAUGAGUAAAAUCCGACACUUUAACGAGUAUCUACAAGAGGGCAAGUCUGGUGCCAGCAGCCGCGGUAAUUCCAGCUCUCGUAAGGUAUAGAAUUAUGGCUGUGUUUAAAAAGUUCGUAGUUGGAUUGUCAAGAAGGCGCGGGUUUGGUGUACGCAUCAUUUCUCGUCGCCUUCUUUUUGUAUGUUCUUGUGCGGUGGGCCUUUGGUCUGUCGUGCUCCAUACAGGAUUACUUUGAACGGCUCAGUGCUCAACUCAUGUCUUAUGACUGAAUACCGGUGCAUGGAAUAAUGGAACAAGGCUUCGGCCGGAUGUUUUACUGGUUUUACCGGCUGAAACAAUGGUUAACAGGAACAGUCGGGGGCAUUCGUAUCGUUACGCGAGAGGUGAAAUUCGUGGACCGUAGCGAGACGCCCAAAAGCGAAGGCACUUGCCAAGAGUGUUUUCAUUAAUCAAGAACGAAAGUCAGAGGUUCGAAGGCGAUUAGAUACCGCUAUAGUUCUGACCGUAAACGAUGCCAACUGUCCCUCAGCUUGUGGAUUCAAUUCAUGAGCUGGGGGGUUCCCGGAAACGAAAGUUUUUCGGUUCCGGGGGAAGUAUGGUUGCAAAACUGAAACUUAAAGGAAUUGACGGAAGGGCACCACCAGGAGUGGAGCUUGCGGCUUAAUUUGACUCAACACGGGCACACUCACCCGGCCAGUACACUGUAAGGAUUGACAGAUUGAUAGCUCUUUCAUGAUUCGGUGAAUGGUGGUGCAUGGCCGUUCUUAGUUCGUGGAUUGAUUUGUCUGGUUUAUUCCGAUAACGAGCGAGACUUUGACUAUUAAAUAGUUCUGUCAUGCCCUUAGAUGUUCGGGGGCGCACGCGUGCUGCAAUGAUGGUAACAGCGUGAUUGUCCUUCUCCAAGGAGUGGGCAACAGUUGAGAUAUUAUUAUGGCUGGAAUUGAGAGUUGAAAUUUUCUCUCAUGAACGAGGAAUUCCAAGUAAAUGCGAGUCAUCAACUCGCAUUGAUUACGUCCCUGCCCUUUGUACACACCGCCCGUCGCUGCCCGGGACUGGGUUACCUCGAGAAAACUAGGGAUCGUCGUUGUUCAAUGCUUUCGGGUAUUGGCCUUGGUGAGAACGAGUUUAAUCGCGGUGGCCUGAACCGGGCAAAAGUCGUAACAAGGUAACCGUGG
rnacentral:rRNA from 1 species